rnacentral:lncRNA from 1 species
CCUUUUCCGGGUCCGAACAGCACCUCCAGUGGAGAUCGCUGAAAUCGAAACUGGUGGCCCUUGGCCUCCGAAAUUGCCCGCCGCGCGC